rnacentral:rRNA from 1 species
UACGGGGGGGGUAAGCGUUGUUCGGAAUUACUGGGCGUAAAGGGCUCGUAGGCGGCCAACUAAGUCGGACGUGAAAUCCCUCAGCUUAACUGGGGAACUGCGUCCGAUACUGGAUGGCUUGGAUUUGGGAGAGGGAUGCGGAAUUCCAGGUGUAGCGGUGAAAUGCGUAGAUAUCAAGAGGAACACCUGAGGCGAAGGCGGGUUGCUAGGCUGACACUGACGCUGAGGCGCGAAAGCUAGGGUAGCAAACGGG